UUAAAAGAGCAGCAGCUUUAGCCACCCUGUGCCUCUGGAGGCUGAGUCCAGGUAGUCCAACAGAGAGCCCUACAAGGGAACCAACACCAUAGUGAAGAAGAAAGUUAGCCAUGGUGAGCAGGGACAUGGGUCUUGGUAGAAGCAGGAAGUAAAGUUUCUGUACCAAAGGGUGUAUAAGAGGAGUAAAAUCAUAAAAACUGACUUUGGAAACCCAUUGAAUAAAAUCAGCAUAAAUUCAGAGACUCCUGGAAGCUGCAGCUACCUGCCAUCUUCAAGCCAUGCCCGGUAGAAACCCUGAGUUUUCCAAGCGAGCUCUCCACCCAAGCAUCCUGGCUCACCUGGCACACCACGGAAUAUACAACUAACUUCAAAUUGGAAGUUACUGCCUGUGCCAUCCUCUGCAAAACCACUGUUUCCUGCCCUGAUCAAUGAGAUCUAUGUGGCCAGUGUUCACUGGAAGCUGGAAGUUGUACCUCAAUCUCUUCUCUCACCUCACCUCCUUAUAACCCCACCACUGCUCAUCCCCGGACUCUCUGAUGCAUCGCCUAAGGCCCCACAACACUCUCCCUGGACUGGAUGAACUGCAAGGCAUCAUUAUGUUUGAGGUCUCCCAACCUUGGCCCUUCCCUUUCAGUCUAUCCUCCUUGUCACUCCCCGGUACAUUCCUAAAAAUUCAUGUGCUUUUGUUUUAAUAUUCUCCACAGCACCUACAAAGUGAAGUUCUACUCCCAGCUACCUUUCUGUCUGGGAUGGGCCUUCCAAGCUCAUUGCUUGUUGCUCCCAGACUCUCCAGACCUUCCAGUCCACCAGCUUGCUGCUCCCAGACACUCCAGACCCUCCAGUCCACCCAAAAUGCAUGGAACUCCUCUAAUACAAAUGUUCUUUUAAGGUUCUGUGCCUUUGCAUGUCCUGGUCCUCCUGAAAAGCACCACCUCAUCCUCACUGAGGCUCUCACUUCAGGGCCACCUUUUCUGGGCUGGUCAUGCUCCCCUCUGUAUGUGUACCCCACAUUUUGGCAUCUACUUCAGCAUUUAUGAGAUCUUUGUUUAUGCAUUUGCUCCCCUCCCAGAGGGUGAACCCCUCGGUGUCCUCAUCAGCACAAUCCCUGGCAGUUUACAGAAUGAGCGCACGCAUAAACAUCUGAUGAUUUCAUAUUA